GUUAUAUGGUCAAGUGAAGAAGCGCAUACGGUGGAUGCCUUGGCAGUCAGAGGCGAUGAAAGACGUGGUAGCCUGCGAUAAGCUUCGGGGAGUCGGCAAACAGACUUUGAUCCGGAGAUCUCUGAAUGGGGGAACCCACUCAGCAUAAGCUGAGUAUCUUGUACUGAAUACAUAGGUGCAAGAGGCGAACCAGGGGAACUGAAACAUCUAAGUACCCUGAGGAAAAGAAAUCAACCGAGAUUCCCUUAGUAGUGGCGAGCGAACGGGGACUAGCCCUUAAGUGGCUUUGAGAUUAGCGGAACGCUCUGGAAAGUGCGGCCAUAGUGGGUGAUAGCCCUGUACGCGAAAAUCUCUUAGUCAUGAAAUCGAGUAGGACGGAGCACGAGAAACUUUGUCUGAAUAUGGGGGACCAUCCUCCAAGGCUAAAUACUACUGACUGACCGAUAGUGAACCAGUACCGUGAGGGAAAGGCGAAAAAGAACCCCGGAGAGGGGAGUGAAAUAGAUCCUGAAACCGUAUGCGUACAAGCAGUGGGAGCCUACUUUGUUAGGUGACUGCGUACCUUUUGUAUAAUGGGUCAGCGACUUAUAUUCAGUGGCGAGCUUAACCGAAUAGGGGAGGCGUAGCGAAAGCGAGUCUUAAUAGGGCGUUUAGUCGCUGGGUAUAGACCCGAAACCGGGCGAUCUAUCCAUGGGCAGGUUGAAGGUUAGGUAACACUGACUGGAGGACCGAACCGACUACCGUUGAAAAGUUAGCGGAUGACCUGUGGAUCGGAGUGAAAGGCUAAUCAAGCUCGGAGAUAGCUGGUUCUCCUCGAAAGCUAUUUAGGUAGCGCCUCAUGUAUCACUGUAGGGGUAGAGCACUGUUUCGGCUAGGGGUCAUCCCGACUUACCAAACCGAUGCAAACUCCGAAUACCUACAAGUGCCGAGCAUGGGAGACACACGGCGGGUGCUAACGUCCGUCGUGAAAAGGGAAACAACCCAGACCGUCAGCUAAGGUCCCAAAGUUAUGGUUAAGUGGGAAACGAUGUGGGAAGGCUUAGACAGCUAGGAGGUUGGCUUAGAAGCAGCCACCCUUUAAAGAAAGCGUAAUAGCUCACUAGUCGAGUCGGCCUGCGCGGAAGAUGUAACGGGGCUCAAACCAUACACCGAAGCUACGGGUAUCACUUAGGUGAUGCGGUAGAGGAGCGUUCUGUAAGCCUGUGAAGGUGAGUUGAGAAGCUUGCUGGAGGUAUCAGAAGUGCGAAUGCUGACAUGAGUAACGACAAUGGGAGUGAAAAACUCCCACGCCGAAAGACCAAGGUUUCCUGCGCAACGUUAAUCGACGCAGGGUUAGUCGGUCCCUAAGGCGAGGCUGAAAAGCGUAGUCGAUGGAAAACAGGUUAAUAUUCCUGUACUUCUGGUUAUUGCGAUGGAGGGACGGAGAAGGCUAGGCCAGCUUGGCGUUGGUUGUCCAAGUUUAAGGUGGUAGGCUGAGAUCUUAGGUAAAUCCGGGAUCUUAAGGCCGAGAGCUGAUGACGAGUUGCCAUUAGGCGACGAAGUGGUUGAUGCCAUGCUUCCAAGAAAAGCUUCUAAGCUUCAGAUAACCAGGAACCGUACCCCAAACCGACACAGGUGGUUGGGUAGAGAAUACCAAGGCGCUUGAGAGAACUCGGGUGAAGGAACUAGGCAAAAUGGCACCGUAACUUCGGGAGAAGGUGCGCCGGUGAGGGUGAAGGACUUGCUCCGUAAGCCCAUGCCGGUCGAAGAUACCAGGCCGCUGCGACUGUUUAUUAAAAACACAGCACUCUGCAAACACGAAAGUGGACGUAUAGGGUGUGACGCCUGCCCGGUGCCGGAAGGUUAAUUGAUGGGGUUAGCUAACGCGAAGCUCUUGAUCGAAGCCCCGGUAAACGGCGGCCGUAACUAUAACGGUCCUAAGGUAGCGAAAUUCCUUGUCGGGUAAGUUCCGACCUGCACGAAUGGCGUAACGAUGGCGGCGCUGUCUCCACCCGAGACUCAGUGAAAUUGAAAUCGCUGUGAAGAUGCAGUGUAUCCGCGGCUAGACGGAAAGACCCCGUGAACCUUUACUAUAGCUUUGCACUGGACUUUGAAUUUGCUUGUGUAGGAUAGGUGGGAGGCUUUGAAGCGUGGACGCCAGUUCGCGUGGAGCCAUCCUUGAAAUACCACCCUGGCAACUUUGAGGUUCUAACUCAGGUCCGUUAUCCGGAUCGAGGACAGUGUAUGGUGGGUAGUUUGACUGGGGCGGUCUCCUCCUAAAGAGUAACGGAGGAGUACGAAGGUGCGCUCAGACCGGUCGGAAAUCGGUCGUAGAGUAUAAAGGCAAAAGCGCGCUUGACUGCGAGACAGACACGUCGAGCAGGUACGAAAGUAGGUCUUAGUGAUCCGGUGGUUCUGUAUGGAAGGGCCAUCGCUCAACGGAUAAAAGGUACUCCGGGGAUAACAGGCUGAUACCGCCCAAGAGUUCAUAUCGACGGCGGUGUUUGGCACCUCGAUGUCGGCUCAUCACAUCCUGGGGCUGAAGCCGGUCCCAAGGGUAUGGCUGUUCGCCAUUUAAAGUGGUACGCGAGCUGGGUUUAGAACGUCGUGAGACAGUUCGGUCCCUAUCUGCCGUGGACGUUUGAGAUUUGAGAGGGGCUGCUCCUAGUACGAGAGGACCGGAGUGGACGAACCUCUGGUGUUCCGGUUGUCACGCCAGUGGCAUUGCCGGGUAGCUAUGUUCGGAAGAGAUAACCGCUGAAAGCAUCUAAGCGGGAAACUUGCCUCAAGAUGAGAUCUCACUGGAGCCUUGAGCUCCCUGAAGGGCCGUCGAAGACUACGACGUUGAUAGGUUGGGUGUGUAAGCGCUGUGAGGCGUUGAGCUAACCAAUACUAAUUGCCCGUGAGGCUUGACCAUAUAACACCCAAGCAAUU
rnacentral:rRNA from 1 species